GACUGUUGCCAUGGAUUCUGUGAGUCGCUCUGGCAAAUUAAUCAAACCCAAGGAAGGAGUCAUUGGAACCCUGAUCUAUAGCCGGUUGGCAAGAGGUACAGACAUCAGGGAAACCUUCUUGGGCUAGACAAUGGAACUGCCACUCCCAUAGUUGCUUGGAGGGGGAGCCCUGAGACUGAACAAAAAGCACAGUGACUCAGAAGCCUUUCAGAGGGUGACUGCGGGGCCAGGCUGCUGCGAGGCAGAGAGGCAGUGAGAAGGAUCGAAUCAAAAUGAAAAACUGCUUUCGUAAGAAGAAACAGAGGCCAAAAGAAGAAGAAGGAGGCUGUGAGCUCCGAGAAUUUCUUUGCACUGAGACUCAAGAGCAACGGAGACCACAGCCCGAAGACCAUCCUUCUAAGUCGAAAAGGAGGCUUAGGAAAUUAUUCGACUGGGAAAACAACCCCAAA